GCUUAGAGAGGGGUCAAUGUCCUAUCAGCUAGUUGGUAAGGUAAUGGCUUACCAAGGCUAAGACGGGUAGCCGGCCUGAGAGGGUGGUCGGCCACACUGGGACUGAGACACUGCCCAGACUCCUACGGGAGGCUGCAGUCGAGAAUCUUUCGCAAUGCCCGAAAGGGUGACGAAGCGACGCCGCGUGUGGGAAGAAGGCCUUCGGGUUGUAAACCACUGUCGGGAGUUAAGAAAUGUAAGGGUGUUAAUAGCAUCCUUACUUGACUAAGGCUCCGGAGGAAGCCACGGCUAACUCUGUGCCUGCAGCCGCGGUAAUACAGAGGCGGCAAGCGUUGUUCGGAAUUAUUGGGCGUAAAGAGCACGUAGGCGGCUUUGUAAGUCAGUUGUGAAAGCCUUCCGCUUAACGGAAGAACAGCAUCUGAUACUGCAAGGCUAGAGUGCGGAAGGG
rnacentral:rRNA from 1 species